rnacentral:rRNA from 1 species
UACCAGCACCCCGAGUGGUCGGGACGAUUACUGGGCCUAAAGCAUCCGUAGCCGGUUUUACAAGUCCUCCGUUAAAUCCAACUGCUUAACAGAUGGGCCGCGGAGGAUACUACAAGACUAGGAGGCAGGAGAGGCAAGCGGUACUCAGUGGGUAGGGGUAAAAUCCGUUGAUCCAUUGAAGACCACCAGUGGCGAAGGCGGCUUGCCAGAAUGCGCUCGACGGUGAGGGAUGAAAGCUGGGGGAGCAAACCGG